rnacentral:misc_RNA from 1 species
AACGGUCUAUACCUGCGGUACCUGCGGAAGGAUCAUUACAUGGCGGAGAAGGUGGGCAACCUGGCCAACAUCCAGGUUGUGAUGCCUUCACGCUCUUCCACCCUUGUCUAUUUGCACCUUCUGUCGUUCCCUCGGCGGGUUUCGACCCGCCGGCGGCAACAUUGAAAAACCCUUUUUGCAGUUAGCAUUCAAUUCUUCUGAUCAAAUAUUAAAUCAUUACAACUUUUAACAACGGAUCUC